rnacentral:misc_RNA from 1 species
CUGUUAAGACUAAUAAUCUGUCAAGGACAGUAAUGCAUUCUUAUCGGUCGAACAAUGCCGAUCUGACGGAAUAAGGCGAAGAAAUGUUCCGGCUGAUAUCUAUUAGAUAAGAUCAUUGCCUGCCAGCUAUUUUGUCCAUGGACAAAUGACCAGUUGGUACCGACAUUCGAUAAAUCGAGGAGCGUUCCAUCUAACAAAAUUCCCUCUCGAUCCGGAUAACGAUGAAAUAAUUAGAAUACUAUAAUAAUUCUUCCGCGGAUACGGUUUUCUCUCGUUGGAGCAAUGUCACGGUGACUCGUUUUGGCAAACAAUCAUGAAAUUUUUCUGGCUCCACAAGUCCAGACACGGCAGUGUCGAUUUGGCGUCAGUUUCGGAGGUCCAGACAGAGACGGUUCACCAGAUUUACAGAAGACUCUCCAAUGGCCGCAAAGCUGGAGUUUUUGGCGAGAUGGAUUUCUCGUUAACAACGGUGCCAACAUUCCAUAAAAAUUCGGACACGGCGAAACGUCUCAAGGCGGCUAUCAUGAGGAAUGAAUUUUUGAGCAACUUUAGCGAGCCUAGAAUCGUCUCUCUCGUCUCGGCCAUGUAUCCUCAAGAUGUUGCUCCCGGGACGAGAAUUAUCACGGAGGGUGACAUCGGAUCCCAUCUUUACGUUUCGGAGGAGGGUGAAUUCGAAAUUUACGAGGGCACUCGGUAUCAAGGAAAAUUCGGGGCUGGCGUCGCUUUUGGAGAACUGGCCUUACUGUACAAUUCCAAAAGAUUGCGCUCGAUAGACGCCAAGACAAAAGGCAGAUUGUGGGUCUUGGAUAGGCCCGUUUUUAUAAACGUCAUGAUAAGAACUGCCCAAAAAUGCAUGGAGGACAACAGCAGGCUUCUUCGACGGAUUUCGGCCCUGAAGGCCCUGCCUGAGCACAUCCUGAAGAAAAUAUCCGACCUGAUGAACAUCGAAUUCUUCCCAGCUGAUUCUUACAUCCUGCGCCAGGGAGAGCCUGGCGAGAAAUUCUACAUAAUUAGUGGCGGCAGGGUGAAAAUCACCAAACAAACCGAGUACCUAGACGAGGCAGAAUUGACAAUCCUCGGUAAAGGGGAUUAUUUUGGGGAAAAGUCACUGUACAACGAAGAGGAAAACCUUCGCGAAGCGAACGCCAUCGCUUUGUCUCCUGGAGUGGAAUGUUUCACCAUAGACAGAACGUCGUUCCUGAAUUACCUGGGUGGGCUGGAAGUGAUCAGGAAUAAAAACUGGACGGAGGAAUAUGAAAAACGUAAACGUUCCCUGGAAGUUCACUGGAAUAAGGAAUUUUCAGAGCUGAAGCUUACAGAUUUGUACGUUCACGCAGUUUUAGGAGCAGGUGCGAUGGGGACGGUUGAACUUGUAGUGCCAAAAUCCUCCCCAAAAGUCAGUUUCGCUAGAAAGAAGAUAAAAAAAUGCGCGAUCACUGCCAUGGGUUGUCAGAGAAGCGUCUACAAUGAGAAGUACAUCAUGCAAGUCUGCGACUCUCCGUUUAUCUGCAAGCUGUACCAAACGUUCAAGGACAAUAAAUACGUGUAUUUCUUGAUGGAGGCUUGUUUGGGUGGCGAUUUAUACACGACUCUUCGAAGAAGUGGACGAUUUGAUAAUUCAACUGCAAAAUUUGCAAUCGGGUGCACUGUCGAAGCUUUGGAUCAUCUCCAUUCUCUGGAUAUCGUGUGUCGAGAUUUAAAACCGGAGAACAUCAUGGUCGAUGACAAGGGCUACCUGAAACUGACAGACUUUGGCUUCAGCAAAAGGAUAGGUCCCUAUAAGACGUGGACGUUUAUCGGGACUCCUGAGUACAUGGCUCCUGAAAUUGUCCUCAAUGAGGGAUACGACAGAGCCGUGGAUUAUUGGUCGUUGGGAGUUCUGGUCUACGAAUUACUUGUUGGGCGACCGCCCUUCCAAAGUAAGGACGCCAUGGUGACUUAUAACAAAAUUGUCAAAGGCAUGUCCACUGUCGAUAUCCCCAGUUUUGUUAAACAAAAGGGCGAGCAGCUUAUCCGGAAGCUUUUGCGAAAAAAUCCAGUCCAUAGAUUGGGUAACCUGGAGGAUGGAAUCGAGGGAAUUCGGAAUCACAAGUGGUUUGGUUCUUUCGAUUGGCCGGCUUUACGGGCCCUCUCGUUUCCGUCACCUCUUGUUCCAAAGGUGAACAGUCAUCUCGAUACGAGGAAUUUCGACAGAUUCCCUCCUGAUCGAGAAGUCCCACCGAAUGACUACUCGGACUGGGACGCGGAAUUUUGAAUGUUUUUAUCCCUACUUUUUGGAAUCGAUUACCAUUAGGAAGUACCAUCAAUCGGAGCUUUAUCGCGAGUCUUGAUUAUCAGCGUCGGGGGAAAAGACCUCCAAAAUCAAACUUCACCACCUCGGAGCAUCCGAUGGUCAGAGGAGACUUCAACAUUACCGACUCCAAGAAUCACACCGGCCUGUGAUAACAAAUCACUUUACGGCCGGCGUAACGAGUCGCUAAGUUAAUAAACAGGUAAAACCGAGUAAAACGCCCCCUCUUCCCCUUUCAUCCAGUGAAUAUUCCCUGCUCCAC